UGCUAACAUACAACACCACUCAAUGCUGUAUUUUUUUUUUUUGCUUCAGACAGGUCUUCAUAUUUUUAUUUUUCUUCUCGGACGUAUUGUGAAGGUUAACUUGGUUUCACUCGUUACGUUUGAUCCAACUGGAUUUCAUUGUUGUUUCAGACGCAACGUUUGCACAAUGCAACAAAGAAGUAGGCCUAAGCUUAUUUCAAUGUUGUUGUAUUGUGUUCAAAAGGUGUUGAAUUGUUAGACAUGUAGAAACACAUUUAGGACAGACUACCGGUGUGAAAAAGUAUCUUUGGCCGUAACAACUGGCGACUGCAGAUGCUAGAAGCAGUGGAGAUUGGACGUAAAUUUAAGUGUCACUCUUAAUCUGGGGUGUAUUCAUUUAGACCAGGAUUGAGACUUUCGUUUUGACCAAUCAUUGUGUUUACAUGGAUUCGCCAGUUGAUACGGGGGACUCGUAUAGUCAGGUUUUAUUUAUGCUUAAACUAAUCAAAGUGUAGGCAUAUAAGCGGUGUAACAUUACACCGCUUAUUAGCCUACACUUUGAUUAGUUUAUGCAUAAAUAAAACCUGAGAAGCCCCUCAAUAGAAAGAAAAGCACAGCCAGAGCUCUAAAUUAACAUUGCAAUCAGCCAAAUGCUGGUGAAAACUCAGGUUGGCUGGUACAAAAUAAAACUUAGUAGCCACUUUGACCCAUUGGUGAGAUUAAAUAUCUAUUAGCCAUUUUGGCUGGUGAUGAAAAAGGUUCAUUUGAAAUCUUGAGCACAGCAUACCUGUUAUCAGUGUAUCUCAUCAUUAUGCUGUAUCCUCAUUUCUGAAGCAUCUAUUACUGAACUGCACACAUUUACACUUUAUGCAUAUCUAGGGGUACAUGCAUUUUUUUUCUCUUUCCAUUUAUGCUAUACCUCCAGUGUAGGCCUAUAAUGUAAUAGGAUGUAUAUAUUUAUACAUAGAUGUAUAUCAUUUUGUCAUUGCAGGUUCAUCAGAGUCAGGUGGUCAGCACCCAAACUAAAACCAUGAGUCAUGGUGAAGAAGGAUGAGACUGUUCUAUGUGCCCAGGGUUCGUCAGGAUGGUGUAGAAUUGCAUCCUAGCAGCACAGCACAGGAAGCCAUCAUGAAGAAGUUGCCUGAGAGGCUUCGCUUAGGCUUUGCCAGCGCCUCACCAGAGUGUUUAUGGGUAGUACGAGAGAGGAAUCUCGCCACUUUUUCCGGGUGGUACUGUCCACUAAGUGGCGCCAUCCAGACAGCGCAGAGGAGGGCCAAGGAGCGCAGAGGCUGUUAGAAUGAAUAGGGUCCCAUGGAGCUCAACCACAGAUGCUGCCAUUGCUUUGGGAAAGAAUUGGCAUCAUCGUUUCAUUUUAUUUUUCUAAAAGGCAGGAUAAAUUACCCUUUCAAACAGCACUUAGUUUGAAUGUUUAAACUGGGUGGAUCUUUGUAAAAUACAUAUUUAUUGUCAAUAUGACAUCACGAGUGGCUUCACACACUGCGUUUGGAUUGGUCGCCCGGCUGCAUUGCUGUGAUCACGACGGCCGUAAAGCAAUUUUGUUAGCAAGAUGCUAGCGGAGCCUGACUCAUAAAUGCCAAAGCUGUAAGAAAUCAGAAGGGCAUGACUCCCAGGUUAUUGUACAUUUCAUUUAAAUCCACAUUGGUUUCUCAGAACUUAAAGUAAUAUUGUCAAGUUUCAGCCGACAGCGAGCACAAUUGUCAUUUAUUAGCGCCAGCCUUAUGAGCUCUGCUGUCUCGACAGCGCUCCCUAGGUGAACUGCAGGCACGGGUUGGAGGGCGAGAUUGAACACUGUAUGUAAACCCACUGUGGCCUCACUAUCAGUGAUGCUUGUCUCCUUAUCCACCGUGCCUACCCCCACAUUCCUCCCUUGAUGCAUUCAUCUCCUGACCUGUACCUGUUGUGGGAGUAGUCAGUGAUGACACACAGUAGUUGUGAUAAUAACAUACAUGUAUAUGAAAUGAUGUCCGUCCAGGCAUUUCCUUUGGUAUUUUAUUGUACACAACUUAGAACAUGUUCUUUGUCUGUCUACAGUAUAUUGAGUCUAGUCUAAAACUAAUUACUCUAGUUCUAUUGUCUCCAGCAUAUGUACGUAUCCAGUUACAUGGGUAUUUUGGUGCCUGGAUUAUGCUGCAUGUAAGUAAUAUGAACUCGGGUCAGGAUACCACAGUAGUUCAGAGAACCAUUCAUUAAUAUAAAAUGCACAUGUGUUGUAUGUCCAUCUCAGGAUAGACGUCCCCUCGUAUCACCAUUGUAACCCUAAAAUGCAUGUGUAAUUUGUGUCUAAAAAUAAAGUCUAUGAACAACUGAA